GAUGAACGUUGGCGGCGUGCCUAAUACAUGCAAGUCGAACGAAGACUGUAGUAAUACUGUCUUAGUGGCGAACGGGUGAGUGACGCGUGGGUGACCUGCCCCGAAGUGUGGGAUAACAGUCCGAAAGGAUUGCUAAUACUGCAUAAUAUCCAAGAGAUUAGAUGCUUUUGGAUUAAAGGAGUAAUUCGCUUCGGGAGGGGCCCGCGUCCCAUCAGCUAGUUGGUAAGGUAAUGGCUUACCAAGGCGAUGACGGGUAGGGGACCUGAGAGGGUGGCCCCCCACAAUGGAACUGAAACACGGUCCAUACACCUACGGGUGGCAGCAGUAGGGAAUAUUAGUAAUGGGCGAAAGCCUGAACUAGCAACGCCGCGUGUGCGAAGAAGGCCUUCGGGUCGUAAAGCACUUUUUGAGAGGAUGAGGAAGGACGGUACUCUCAGAAUAAGUCUCGGCUAACUACGUG
rnacentral:rRNA from 1 species